GGACAAUGAAGAAAGGUAAAUGUGAAUUAAUGGUGAUGAUGUGAAAGAAAAAAUAGAAAGGGUUAGUGUGAAUGCAAGAAAAUUAAUUAAAGACCUUAAUAAUGAAAAGAAAAGAUAAUAAUGAAGAUAAGAUUAUAUAUAUAUAUGUGGAUAAAGGGUUUCCACCACAAACAAACAAAAGUGAGCAACACUAAGUGAUGUAUGACUAUUUCACAAAAUGGCCCAGCUAGGCUUCACGCAUUAACAAAAAACGACAAUAGAAAACAG
rnacentral:misc_RNA from 1 species